rnacentral:rRNA from 1 species
UACAGAGGUGGCAAGCGUUGUUCGGAAUUACUGGGCGUAAAGGGCGCGUAGGCGGCUUGGUCAGUCCCGUGUGAAAUCCCUCGGCUCAACUGAGGAACUGCACGGGAAACUGCCUGGCUUGAGUUCGGGAGAGGGAAGCGGAAUUCCGGGUGUAGCGGUGAAAUGCGUAGAUAUCCGGAGGAACACCGGUGGCGAAGGCGGCUUCCUGGACCGACACUGACGCUGAGGCGCGAAAGCUAGGGGAGCAAACAGG